UACGUAGGGUGCGAGCGUUAUUCGGAAUUACUGGGCGUAAAGCGUGCGCAGGCGGUUUUGUAAGCCAGAUGUGAAAUCCCCGGGCUUAACCUGGGAAUGGCAUUUGGGACUGCAAGGCUCGAGUGCGGCAGAGGAGACUGGAAUUCCUGGUGUAGCAGUGAAAUGCGUAGAUAUCAGGAGGAACACCGAUGGCGAAGGCAGGUCUCUGGGCUGACACUGACGCUCAUGCACGAAAGCGUGGGGAGCAAACAGG
rnacentral:rRNA from 1 species